UACGUAGGGCGCGAGCGUUGUCCGGAAUUAUUGGGCGUAAAGGGCUCGUAGGCGGUUUGUCACGUCGGGAGUGAAAACUCAGGGCUUAACCCUGAGCCUGCUUCCGAUACGGGCAGACUAGAGGUAUGCAGGGGAGAAUGGAAUUCCUGGUGUAGCGGUGAAAUGCGCAGAUAUCAGGAGGAACACCAAUAGCGAAGGCAGCUCGCUGGGACGGUAUUGACGCUGAGGCGCGAAAGCGUGGGGAGCAAACAGG
rnacentral:rRNA from 1 species